rnacentral:sRNA from 1 species
CUCUUUCCCAUCUUGCAAGAUGGCGGGUGAAAAAGUUGAGAAGCCAGAUACUAAAGAGAAGAAACCCGAAGCCAAGAAGGUUGAUGCUGGUGGCAAGGUGAAAAAGGGUAACCUCAAAGCUAAAAAGCCCAAGAAGGGGAAGCCCCAUUGCAGCCGCAACCCUGUCCUUGUCAGAGGAAUUGGCAGGUAUUCCCGAUCUGCCAUGUAUUCCAGAAAGGCCAUGUACAAGAGGAAGUACUCAGCCGCUAAAUCCAAGGUUGAAAAGAAAAAGAAGGAGAAGGUUCUUGCAACUGUUACAAAACCAGUUGGUGGUGACAAGAACGGCGGUACCCGGGUGGUUAAACUUCGCAAAAUGGAUGCAGAAGCAUAAUUGACCUUUUCCAAGUCUACUUAGCAGAAAUGAAAAUGGAAUCGUAUAAAUACAGUAUUAUACUUUAAAAUAAAAAGGCUAUAGCAAAAGUUUGGCUGACAUAGCUCGCUUCUAGUAAUCUGAAUGGCUUAUUUAAAUAAGUUGGAUCUAUGGACUCUCCACAGCCUAGAUAUUAUCCUACUGAAGAUGUGCCUCGAAAGCUGUUGAGCCAUGGCAAAAAACCCUUCAGUCAGCACGUGAGAAAACUGCGAGCCAGCAUUACCCCCGGGACCAUUCUGAUCAUCCUCACUGGACGCCACAGGGGCAAGGUGAGAGUACCUGUGCUUGGGGCGCUUCACUGCAGCUGCCUGGGGUGCCUGGUGGCAAUGCGUUUGCACGCUAGGUGUACUUUGCCUUUAUUUACCUAUGUUUGGGGCAAGGGGAAAUGAUCUGCAAGAUACAACUUAGUUGUUGCAAAUAACAAGUGUAAUCCAUGGUGAUUUAUUAGCCAUUUCCUGGUGUUGAUUAUGUUACACAUGUUCAUUUACUCAAAAACGUAUUUAUGCCUGGAGUACUACCUUAGCAGCUUGCUGUGGUUGCUUCCAGAACUGCCGAGCUGUAUACAUAUACAUGUAGAAAUUUCUUUUACCCAAAUUUAGAUGCCUGUGAUUUUAUGAAUUCAGAAGUCAGUUUUUAAUUGCAGAAAACUAAUUAUUUUCUUUUUAACUUACAG